GAUUGACAGGUCGGGAUAAUCAAGACUACCUUUUUACGAAACAUAACAGAAAGCUGGAACAAGAAAUUGAAUUUAGAAACAUUCACGUUAGCCAGCUCAACAAUUGUUUUAAGAAACUUGUAAAAGUAAAAUGAAACUACUGUUAGUAUCAUGUUCCUGCUAACGAAAGUGAUUCAGAGAUAUUAUUUGUACUAAACCAAAAGAUGCCGCUCUUAACGGUACAGUUAAUGAUAAAGCAAUUUAAAAAAUAAAACGAACGUAAUUUCUAAAGCUGCUGUAAUAACCAAGAAGCUGAAUAUUACUGCUAUUCAAAAUCAUCAACAAUAGAUUUUUUACGGCUGUAAUAGUUGAUAGAUUUGUAGAGAAUUGCACGUGCAAUGGCUAUUUAUAGUAUCAUACACACCACCCCUGAUAGUUCGAGACACAACCACUGAAGCGUGCACAUUAGCCGUGUCGAGACCAACUUUCUGUAGAGCGACGGGUCACCCUACUAUUGUUUCUAAUCUAGAAACAAAAUUAGUUCGAUUAAAUGAACUGAAACAUUUUUUACUUAAACAAAAUUACCCAUUAAAACUCAUACAGGAAGCUAAUCGCAAAGCCUUAGAAAUGGAUCCAAAAGAGUUAAGAAUCCCUAAGGAUAGACAUACGAUUAAAAACAUAGAAGAAAAGGUCUUAAGAUUAGUUUCAACAUAUAACCCAACUCAAGAAAAAGCAAGGGAUGUAAUAAAUAAACAUACAUAUUUAUUAAGAAAUAGUAAAAAAAUGACUGAUAUAUGGGAUGCCACAAAGAUUAUAAAUUCUUAUAUACAACCUCCAAAUUUACGACAAAUACUUACUUCUUCAAAAUUUGAUUCUGAAGUCACAGAAUCGAGUGUCACAAAGUGUCGGGACAAUAGAUGUAAAACUUGUGACAACAUUAUUGAAGGGAAAACAGUAAAAAUAAAUGGAAAUGGAAAUUUUAAAGUAAAUCAAUCUAUGACCUGUAAAAGUAAAAAUGUUAUAUAUUUGAUAAUAUGUCCAGGUUGUAAUGAAGAGUAUAUAGGCAAAACUGAAUCACAACUCAACAUAAGGAUGAAUCUACACAGAUCCGACAUCACUAAUCCCAAAAAUAGAAUGAUUCCACUAAGCAAACACUUAGAUACUCAACUGGGUCGGAUAAUAAUUUGCUAGAAAAUAAAGAACAGCAUUUUAUUAAUGGGACAAUAACACUCUUGCUGUAAAUGAAUAAUAUGUCCAAAUCUUCAUUCUGGUCAACAAAUUGUAAUAUUAUACAAUAUCCCAAUUCAUUAGUGGUAUAUACAUGAUCUUAUCAACGGUAUUUAAAAAAAACUGGAAAAAUUCCGUUAGGUGGAUGGUGUUCUCAUCAAUUUCACUCUCUGAGAGACUGGUAAAACAUUCCACAAAGCGGAAAAGGGGGAAUCCCAUUGUGGCGCAAAGCGUCAAAUACGCUUCGCUCUGUAAUGUUUAUACAUGUAGCUGACAGUUUUAGAAGGAUAUAGGACUUGAACUGCUACGAUUCAUGCCAGACAAUCAAUCCAUUUUUCCUGGUAAGUUUAUAUUCAUUACGAUUAUUUACUUAUGCUCUCAUGGCUUCAAAGUCAGGAACGAAUUGCGAAGUGAAUGACCGGAAUUUAGAUUGAAUGAUUGUCAUUUGGUAAUGGUAGGCCCAGAGGUCGCAGACACGCAAAAAUCCGCGUAUUUCACACAUUUAUUUCAAAAUAAACGCAAAUAUUGACGGACGCUGCGUAAUUUACACGCAGAAAAUUUCCCCGACGUGAGAAUAAUUAGAUUAUUCUAUGUCGUAAUUUGUACAAUUUAUGUGCUUUACCCAGCAUUUACACACCUCUACUGCACACAGUCUCCGUAGUUUUUUUUAUAUUUCCCCUUAUUUCAUUCAUUAGUUCAUAUCAGUAAGUCUACGUAGCUAUCCUAUUGGAUGCAAUAAAGCGCAUUUCAUACAAGACUUGGGAUUGGCUAGAAUAUGAUAUACUGUUUACAUUCAGCCAAUCAAAUGUUGGCUUUCAUAGCAAUCGUUUUCUCUGUACUUCCUGUCGAAGUGAAAGAUUGAAAUGACUGUGCCGUCAACCAUAGACAUGCCGUUAACCUCCAGUCAUCAUUAGACUAAAUACAGUAGGCAUAUCAAUGAAAUAAAGACGUUUAAAAUAGUGUUGUUCACAAAACGACUUUACAUGCUUCUAUAUUGAGUAUUUUGAGAGGCUCUAAGUCACGCAGAUGUAGAGGGCAAAAACGCAAAAUUUUGGAAUGUCUGCAUAUUUUUACGCAACUCGAAAUUGAUCCACUGCGACCUAAAUUAUUAUCAGUCACUCGACUCACUACAUGGCUUCACUUGAUUUGGUUACAGACAGAUUAUCUUUAAAAUUUGAUGAUUGGGUUCAUUCUUAGCUUUGAUUAGACCUAAGACCGAUAUGGCUUCAUACACCUGCAUUUUUAUCUGAUUUCAAUGAAACUCGAAAUAUAGGUUUAUUACCCUAAGAUCUCGGUUCCUUUCGAUAUUGGCAUGUAUCGGACCGUAACUUCAUGUAUUAUGACCCCUGAUUGUACGAAAAAUCACGUUUUUAGCUUGUGAACGCUGUAGAGGUCACAAUUUUUAUCCGAUUUGGUUUAAACUUGAAAUGUAUGCUUAUAACCCAAAGAUCUCAGUUCCUUUCAAUAUUUGUGCAUAUCGGAACGUAACUUCCUGAAUUAUGGCCCCUGAUUGUACGAAGAGUCUCGUUUUUAGCUUGUGGACCCUAUAGAGGUCAUAAUUUUUAUCCAAUUUAAAAAACCGUAUUAUUAUAUCACUGUUACACCCUAAGGAUGACUGAGUUCGAAUUUCGUGAAAAUCGGUGCAAAACUGACAGACAAAAUGGCCGCCGUUCGUUCUCAAAUAACGUAAAAAUAUGGUAUAUCAAGGUUGUGGACCUUAUAGACCCUGUUGACCCCCCCCCCCCCCCACCGUCUCUACUUUACCAACUAUGCCAGAAGCAACUCAUGCUGCCCAACCUUUUACAUCAACAGCAUCAUCUACAUCAAGGACAAUUAGAUCUUAACGGAAGCUGAAAUUACAUGUAGCGUCGUCUGAAACCACCCCACCAAGACCAAAAAGAGAGAAAAGAGAAAACUGAGUCAACAAGGGAGAGGGUCGAAAAACUCAAAAAAGAAAAAACUGAGGGACUCAAGAAAAUGGUAAAUGAGCUUAGAAGUGGAUGGAUGUAGGAUACUUUUGUUGUCUGUGGCUGAAAAAAUGCCUGCAGUUUUAUUUGACACUUCUGAAGAACUAAGAAACCAACAGCCAAUCCAACCCUCAUAUCCAACCUCAACUGUGCCAGAUUGUUGUUCCUAUGACAGAUAUGGAGAUAUGCCAACAGAUAUGGAGAAGUUAUGUUGCGGUACCAGACCAGAGAAUUGUAUUUCAUUACGACCAAAGUUUGAACAGUAUUGUUUAGAGCCACGAGUUCUGGAUCUUGCCAAUGUAUAUAGAAACGGUGUACUGGCAAUCGAUAUGGACAAAGACAUUAAUCGAAGGAGAAGACAUGCAACCUACAGACAAUUUGUUAUGUAGUGCCAUGGACGUAUUGGUGCAGGGAAGAGAGUAGUAGUACCCUCCUGUUGUGUUCUGAAAAUAGGAUUAUCGUUUCAAGACAGAAAUGGACAGUACAAGUGUUUUAAUCCAAGGCGAUUAUUAUGAUAAUACUUACAUUAAAAUCUGGUUUUCUGUUUGUUGGCUGUCUCUGAAGUUGGUUCUGGCUGGGGUUUUGCAACUGUGCCUGCAAUCUUUCGAGCGCCAUCCUGGUCUUUAUCAUCGAGUCUGGCCCUAUAAAGAUAGUAAAUUUAAGACAUCAAAAUAGUUCCAGGAUGGUUUGGCAAUUAAUACAAAUUCUUUUUUCGUGCCAGACAUUUAUAAUUUUUACAACACUUUAUUUGAUUCUAUAUUAAAAAAUUGCUACUUAACAUGCUUCAAAUUUUUC